rnacentral:rRNA from 1 species
UGAGGAAUAUUGGGCAAUGCCCGCAAGGGUGACCCAGCAACGCCGCGUGGAGGAUGAAUGUCGUAAGAUUGUAAACUCCUGUUAGAGGGGAAGAAUAGUACCGGUUGGGCCGGUAUAUGACUGUACCCUCAGAGAAAGCCCCGGCUAACUACGUGCCAGCAGCCGCGGUAAUACGUAGGGGGCAAGCGUUGUCCGGAUUUACUGGGUGUAAAGGGCGCGCAGGCGGGAUAAAAAGUCAGUGGUGAAAUCCUACAGCUUAACUGUAGAGCUGCCUUUGAUACUUUUAUUCUUGAGUUCGGGAGAGAGAGACGGAAUUCCAGGUGUAGUGGUGAAAUACGUAGAUAUCUGGAAGAACACCAGUUGCGAAGGCGGUCUCUUGGUCCGACACUGACGCUGAGGCGCGAAAGCGUGGGGAGCAAACA